rnacentral:rRNA from 1 species
AUAAGGGGCCAUCCAAAACAUGAAGUCGAGCGAACAGACGAGGAGCUUGCUCCUCUGACGUUAGCGGCGGACGGGUGAGUAACACGUGGAUAACCUACCUAUAAGACUGGGAUAACUUCGGGAAACCGGAGCUAAUACCGGAUAACAUGUUGAACCGCAUGGUUCAACAGUGAAAGACGGUCUUGCUGUCACUUAUAGAUGGAUCCGCGCCGCAUUAGCUAGUUGGUAAGGUAACGGCUUACCAAGGCAACGAUGCGUAGCCGACCUGAGAGGGUGAUCGGCCACACUGGAACUGAGACACGGUCCAGACUCCUACGGGAGGCAGCAGUAGGGAAUCUUCCGCAAUGGGCGAAAGCCUGACGGAGCAACGCCGCGUGAGUGAAGAAGGUCUUCGGAUCGUAAAACUCUGUUAUUAGGGAAGAACAAAUGUGUAAGUAACUAUGCACGUCUUGACGGUACCUAAUCAGAAAGCCACGGCUAACUACGUGCCAGCAGCCGCGGUAAUACGUAGGUGGCAAGCGUUAUCCGGAAUUAUUGGGCGUAAAGCGCGCGUAGGCGGUUUUUUAAGUCUGAUGUGAAAGCCCACGGCUCAACCGUGGAGGGUCAUUGGAA